rnacentral:tRNA from 1 species
GAGGGUAUAGCUCAGUGGUAGAGUGUGUACUUAGCAUUCUGGGUUCAAUCCCCAUUACCUCCA